CCCAGGGCUUGCGCCCCUGGGCUAGAAACGGUCGCCCCUUCGGGGCU
rnacentral:sRNA from 1 species